UAGGUCCAUGCCUGGGAUCUGAACCCAUGAACCCUGGGCCACUGAAAUGGAGUGUGUGAAAUUAACCACAAUGGGCCAGCCCCUGCUAGAGUCUUUUUAAAAAACCACUCUGAUUGUGCCUACCACUCUUUAGACGUCUGGUGACUUGAACUUCUCAAAUUCUGGACACAGCCCAUGUGGUCCUGCACGAUCUGGCCCCAAGCCAUUUCUCCAGCCACCUGGAAUAUCACAAACUCUUGCAGCUCAGAUCCUUUGCAUUCACUGUUCCAUCUGCCUAGAAUACUCCUCCUCUCCACGCCCUCUCUGCCUUGCCAACUCCUGGGCAUUAUCCGUCAGCUCCUUGCUCGUGUGUCGCUUCUCCAGGGAACCGCAGCAGGAUUCCCUGUAGAUUUUCACAUAGCACCUUGUACUUCAACAACAGCACCUGGCACCUUUACACUCCAGCAUGGCGGAAGCUUGCUUAUUUUGUUCAUCUCUUUGUUCUUAAAUGUGCAGCAUAAUAGUAGAUGAUGGAGAAAUGGUUGUUGGUUGAAUGUGUGGAUUGAAUGAAUGAGCUCUGGACUCAAGAGCCGAGCACUGGGCGUUGGCAUCUGAGUCUCCCCCUCACUGAGUUCCUAAGUUACCUAAUGGAGCCAGUUUCCUCAUCUGUAAAUGCAGCAUGUAGAGAUUUUGAGGGAAAAGGUCUGUUGAUAUAUGUGAAAGCGCACUGAUUGAUUGCUGGUGUGGAGCAGGUCCUUGAUAAAAAUCCAUUUUCUUUUCAUUUUUCACGUUCUCUUCCUUCGCACAAACCUUUGCUCCUUCUAGGCAUCAGCGUCCUUCAUUUAUAAAAUGGGAGGCUGUCUCCCAGGGUGGUUGGAGGAUCAAAAGACAGAUGUAUGUGAAAGAACUUACUAACGAGCAGGCAGCAAAUACAUCUAGGCUGCUCUUACCUCCCCGGGUGGGAGUGCUCUUCACUGUGCUGCUGAGCCAGCUUCCCGAGCGAUUGUGCUGGACAUAGCAGGUGCUGGCCUGUUCAGGUCAGAUCAUGUAACACAGUCUUUUGUGAUCUUUAGUAUCCUUCGUGUAAGGCUAGCAGUCGCCCCUGCUUUUUGCCCUCAUAUCUCUUCCGAAGAUGACCCGGGAGAAGAAGGCCCAGAGAAUGAUUUGGUGAAAGAAGAGGUGCUGACAAGUUAGAACGCUGGGUCGCUCACCCUUCAGAGCUGGGCAUGAAACACAUGUGCCCUUGAGCCCCAGUUCCCCCACCAGUUGCUCCCCCUCAUGCUUCCUGUCUCUGACCAGCACAUCCUUCCACCCACUUGUCCAACCAGAAUCCGGGAGUGGGACUCAGUCCUCCCCCAACUGCAUCAUCAUCCAGUCCUCCCACCUGUCCCUCCCACCUGCACACCUCCCUCCAUCCCUGCUGUCCAUGUGCAGAGCCCGGCCCGCAGGGAGCGUGUGGUUUGGUUGGAUAUAAAGGACGUGUGUGUGCAGGUUGGAAGCCCCCCACCAGGUGUAUAGAUGUCAAUCACCAUUCCUUGUUGGAGAGAGAAAGGCAGGAAGCUUGGGGCCAAGAAGACCUGGGUUCAAAUUCUAGCUCUGCCAUUUCUCAGCUGUGAGAUCUAGGAAUGUUCUGUCUCCUGAGCCUAGUUCCUCACCUGUUAAAUAGAGAUGACAUGGCCUCACCUUUCUACCCAACCGCCAUACACACACACUCCCCUACCUGUCUGAGUAUUGCUCUUCUGUGCUUGUGACUUCGUAAUUAUUUGCUGACCCGUUUCAGCUCAUUAGGCUGAGAAUUUCUCCUGGCACACUCUUCAGUCAUUGAGAGUUGCAUGAGUGAGCCAUUGAGAUCAAGGGAGCAGGUGCAGGUGGCAGGGCCCCUCACAGAGCCCAGCAUGUAAGAGGGACACACAAACUGUAAGAAAGACCUCGAUGGGAUCACCAGCCUGGGCCCCUAAACUGAGUCAUGGAAGGCACUUAAUUCAUAUUGAGAAAUAAGGCCAUUAAGGCCCAGACACUUGCCUGACAUGCCUGGGGUCACCCCAGUGCAGGUAGAGAUGAGGAUGGUCUGGUAAGACAAGAGCCUUAGAACAGAGGAAUUCUUAGAGAUUGCUCCAAUGCCUACAUUUUCUCCCAGAUAAGCAAACAGGAUGCAGGUCUUCUGACUCCCAGCCCAGUGCCUUUCUGGGCAUUUGGUUGCAGUCAGCGUGGUGGUUAAGAAGGUAGGCUUGGGAGGCAGGUGGCUGUGUUCAGAGUCCUGCAGGGUUGCUUGCCAGCAUGUCACCCUGACUAAGUUACUGCACCUUUCAGAGACUUGGUUUUUUCAUCUGUAAAAUGAGACGAUAAUACCACCUUAUAGGGUCAUGAAAAUCGCGUGAGAGAAUGUGGGUAAAGAGCUAAGACAGUGCCUGGGAGAUUGUGAUCUCCUCCCUAAACAUCAGCUGUUAUGAUGAUGAUUAUUGCCGCAGACUCUGUGAGCCCCAAGAAUUUAGAGAAGGGAACAACCACAGGGGCCAGAGUGGACAGGGUAGUCUUUAAAAAGGAAGUAGCCUUGGGCCUUGUAGGAUGUGUAGGAAUCAGAGUGGUCAAGAGGUGGAACCCAGUGUCCCCACUUGUGCCAGAGGGCCACACUCCUCUAACUAGCUGCUUUGACCAUUCUGCCUUAUUUGGGUCCCAGGAACCUCUGCUGAGAAGUUUUUUCUGUUGGCAGAGGUGCCACGAGUUGCCAAGAGGAAGAGGGCCCCCUGACCACGCUGCCCUGGCUCCCGCCUGUUGUGAAUAAUGUUGCCUGAGGUGGGGCAGCUCUGCAGACAUUUCUUAGCUUCAUGGUUGUGCUGGGGGGAGGAAGGGGGGGGGGGCAUGUGUGCACACAGGCCGCGGAACACCUGGGGCAGCACCAGUUGGCCUACUGGAGUUAGAAAUGAGUUUAGGGUGAGGAUCCACACAAAAUGUGGGAUGCAGAAAACGUGACAGGAAAAUAAACUGGAAAUAAGCCAAAAAGGCUUCAAGGCAGAAGUAGCUGUCUUAGUCCCUACCUGUGGUUCUCCAGUGCUCCUUUGCCUAAGAGAUCAUAUAAAUCACAGAUGCCAGAGCCUCCUGAAGAUUCUGAUUUAGGAGGGCUGGAGCUCUGCACUGUAAACAGACACUCGGAGUGAUUCUGCCUCAGUGGUCCCUUUGAUAAACCCUGCCCCAGAUUCCUUUUCUAGGCUUCUUCCUGCUUACUUUACAUGCAGCUCUAACCAGCCUGGAAAUCUGAUUCUCAGACCAAGCAGAUUAGAAGCCGCACACUGGAAGGCAACAGGGUAGAGGCAGAGAACUUAACAGAAGGUGAGAUGACAGCUAACAGCACGAUGGCAGACAGCUACAAGGACCUCCCAAGGCACAGGAACACAAGAGGGGCCGCAGUGAGGAUUUGAUGCCGUCGGCUUUGCAAAGGUGUCUGUGUGGCACAAAAUAAGGCAGCACUGUCAACACUUCCCUAAUGGAGGCCAUUCAAACAUUGUUUCGAAUGUGCCUGGCAGGUCCACCAAGAACCUGGUGCACCACCAGCUAGUCUGAAGCUUGAGAAAAGACGGGAAAAAGGGAAGAAAGGUAAUAGCAAGAGCUGACUUCUAUAUUGAACCCCAACCAAGUGUGCUCCCAUCAUCCCAGUGCUCGAGCCUGAGGACAGCCCCAAGGGAGGCUGGCGAAUGGUGGUACCCCGACUUCUCAGAGGAGAAACCAAGUCCAGGGAAGUAGAGGCACUUACCCAGGGUUACUGAGCACCCAUGUUGCAGAGGAAGGAUUGAACUUCACCCCCAGGGCUCUUCCCUAUAGAAAGGGAUGGGGCGUGGGAGAAAGAAGCCCACUGAGAGUGGCUUCCAUGGUGGGGCAGCCGCAUCCGGAAGGAGGGAGGGCAAGGCGUGGGGCCUGGGCUCCCUGCACGGCGAUGAAGGCCAUGUUCCCAGGCUCUCCAGUGCCUGAUCACCGCACUGGCCACCGUUGGUGGUUGGCGCUAGGACAGGAGCACUGCCUGGGUGGUCUAACACACAGGAUGUGUCUCGCCUUAAAGCAGAAGUGAAACAGGGCACACUUCCCCUUGUGAGACAAGAGGCAAGUCUGACCACCCCCUUGCUACUGUCUCCUGCAGGAACCAGGAGGCUGGCUGCCACUGCUGGGGUCUGAGAUUCGGGUUGACAAAGAGAAGCCAGGCUGGUCUGGGGACCUAACUUAUGCAGGGAGUCGGGUGUCCACCUCCCACUGCACACAAUCUUGGGAUCUCUUGCCACAUACCUCCUUAGGCAGCGUCCAUGUGAUUAGAAGGCUUUAUGAUUUAGACUCUAAGGGAGAUGGCCCUUUAUAUAAGUCCCUGUCUCCCGCAGAAUUGCGGCCAACCUGUUGCUGCAAGAUGGAGGUUCAUUUGUGGUUUAGCCACUCAUUUGUUGUGCAGGUGUUCGGUCCUUGUUCUCCCCUCAACAAGUAUAUUAAGAACCAUUAAUGUACCAGGCAUUGUGCUGAUAUAGCGGGAGAAGGAUGGUAAACAAAACAUUACACAAAUCACUAUUGUUACGGUUGUGACAAGUGCUCCAAAAGUCAAGGAGAGGUCGCUGUGAAAGGUUUGAUGGGGCCCCAACCUAGACUAGGAGUCAGGGAAGGCUUCCUCGGCAUUUCUGUGGAGACCUGACGGAUGGCAGGGCUUGCAAAGGGCAGAGAAGGGUGGGGAGGAGCUCCUGGCUGCAAAGACUCUGAGACUCUGAGAUGGAAAGAAGCCUGGUGGGCCCGAGGGAGAGUGAGGGGGCUGGUAUAGCUGGAGAAGGAAGCAGAGACCAGAUCACGCAGGGCCUUGCAUGGGUCCUGUCUGUCUGACGCGUCAUCAAGAGGAGCGUCUGGAAGGCUGGUUGAUCUUGGGCAAGGCUUUCUCUUCUCUCAGCCACAGUUUCCUCAUCUUUUCAAUAGGAAUGUGUCUGCUGUCCUUGCAGUGUUGUUGAAGAGCCCUUAGGUAAAGCACUUAGUACGAUGUCUGGCACAGUGGAGGGGCCUGAUAAGUGGAGACAUUAAUCUAACUGUUGUGACAGUGCGGAGCCAGGAAUCCAGGCUCCUGCCCAGCUCUCCCUCCAGCGGCUGCCGCUGCAGUUCCUGCCUCCCCCAGGGCUGCUUCUGGGAGACGUGGAGCCGGGAGCCGCCAUCAGGGCUGAACACAUUGGCCUGAGCUCCAACCUGCUCUCUACUGAAGCGUUUCCCUGCUGUCAUAUCACUGCCCUUUGCCAGCCUAGGUUAAUGCAACCUGGGAAAAGGCUCCAGUCUACAGCGAUGGUCAGCCCUGGAAGCGGGUGCUCCUCUCCCUCCUCCCAUCCCCCGAAUUCCCCCAGGCUCUGGCUAGUCAGUCAGUCUUUGCAGACGCCUGAUUCCUGCUAUGGCAGCCAUGUGCCAUGCAGGUGAGGGGCAGAGGUGGCACUGAGCUGGCAGCCCCAGGGUUGACCGGCAGCAGGACUGCAUUACUCUGCAAGGAUAGAGCCACCCUGGAAUCCCUGUCUUCUGAUUCAGGGAAGCAAUCUUCCUACAGGAGAGAGGAACUGGCACUGACGGCGGGCGUGCCUGGAGCUGUGUGGGGUGCUUUGCGUGCUGCCUGCCUUCGUUCUAGCAGCACCCCUCACAGUGGACGUUAUGGACCACUAUUCCAGAUAAGUAACUGAGGAUUGGGGUCACAGAAGGUCACUCAGCUGACAAGUGGCAGAGUCCGAAUUCUACGCCAGGUCAUCAUCACUUUGCCCUGCCCCCUGCCCCUCAGUGGUGGGCCUUUGGGCUGUGUUUUGUUGUAUUUUUGUAUUUCAUCCAGUGCAAGCCGAUUAUAGAAGAAACAAGGUGGGUGAGCCUGAGCUUUGAUUUCUUCAUCUCGCAUGUGGCCACAGGAGUGUCAUAGAAUGACCACACUGGAGCCACCUCAGCGAUGGGUAGAGCCACCCCCCCUGGUUUACAGGAGGGAAACUGAGGUCUAGAGGUGGGGAGCAACUUGCCUGAGGUUACAAGAUGGGUCAGUGGAGAGCUGGGCCAGGCCGGACUCUCCUUGGGGCCUCCUUCAUUGGUCUUUCUCAUCCUCCCUUGCUGGCCUCUUCACCUCUGUCCAGUUCUGCACAUUGGAGGAUCCCAGCCUGUCGCCCCUGGACCUCUUUUCUGCAUCUCAUUCCCCGGGUGACCCAGUCCCAUGAUUCUAAUUACCAUCUACAUGCCCGCCCUGAGUCUCAACUUGAGACCUCUAGCCCUGACCCCGCCUUUGAACUCCAGCCCAUCUGUCCAGCUGCCUUGGCCUGUCCUUAGACAUCUAAGAGGCUAACAAACUGGAUGUGUCUAAAACACAACUCUUGAUUUAGCUGUAUCCUCCCGGCUCCCACCAAGCUUGCUCCUCCCACAACUUCCCCAUUUUAGUCACUGGACCAUCAUCUUCCCAGUUAUUCAGGCUGAAAGCAUUGGUGUUAUCCUAUAUUUCCUUCCCUCAACCCCCACAUCUGAUCCAUUAGUAAAAAUAUAUUGCAGUCUGACCCUUCUCCCAUCUCCACCGUCAUCUGAUGCUGCAGCAACCUAACUGGUCCUCCUGCAUCCUCUUUUCCCGUCAAGAAUUUAUUCUUCUCACAGCAACCAACGUGCUCUCUUUUAAACAGAACAGGUUGUAUCAUUCCCCUGCUUGAAAACCUUUCAGUGACUUCACAUCAAUUCAGUAUGAAAUCCCAACUCCCUGCCAUGGUCCACAAGGCCCUACAGGUCCUGGGCUUCUGGAAGCCUCUGUCUCCAUUUUCAUCUCCUCCUGCUUCCUGAGAAUGAUGCACUGUCUCUUCUUUUUGUUCCGUGAGCACCCCAAGGUUGCCCCUGCCUCGGGGCCUUUGCACGACUCUUCCAUUUUCUUGGAACCCUCUUCCAAGAUCGUGGCUCAGUUGCUUCCUCAUUGUUGACAUCACUUGUCACAUUCCCUGAAUACCCUGUCUAGAGAAGCACCACCCCUCUGCCCAUCACUGUCUGUCACACUGGCAUGCUCUCUCUCUCACAGCCCUUGUCGUCACCUGAAAUCAUCUGGGUUAUUUGCCCACUUGUGGACUGUCUUUUCUCCUCACUGGAAUGUAAGUUCUGGGACUGUUUUUGUCCCUGCCACGUCCUCAAUACUAACAACAGUGUGCCUAGCACAUGGCAGGUGCUCAAUGAGUACUUGUUCACAGAACCAGCCACAUGGACUAAGGGCCUAAGUUACAACUCAAGUUUAUUCUAGGUUGCUGCCCCCAGACUCUCUUUUGUAGGACAGCUUUUCCCUGUCCUACGACUUCUUUAAGACAGUAAUUUCUUUAAGUGCUCAGAGGUCACUCAUUUAUCUACCAGCUCUACCACCUACAGGCUGUGUGACCUUGGGCAAGUUACUUAAUGUCUCUGUGUCUCAGUUUUGUCAGCUGUAAAAUGGGGGUAAUAACAGUGCCCACUUCAUAGAGUAAAUGUGAGAAUUGAAUGAAUGCAUAAAGAGUGCUUAAAACAGCACAGGGACACAGUGUUCAAUAACGUUAGCUCUAUUAUUUUUAUCAUCGUUAUCAUCACCACUGUCAUCAUCACUGGUGUUUUUAAUUGAGAUAUACUUGACAUAUAACAUAUUAGUUGCAGCUGUACAGCAUGAUUCAAUAUACGUAUAUAUUGCAACAUGAUCAGCAAAAUCUAGUUAACAUCCAUCACCAGUCUGACUCCUGGAAGAGGCAACUGGUGUCUCUGCCUUCACGUAAUAAUACUUUGUGCCACUCUGCCUGCACAGUACCCUCCAGUGGUUUUCGAUUUCACUUCAGAAAAAGACCAAACCCCUUUAAGUAGCCUGUGAGCCCCACAAGCACCUCUCCAGCCUCAUCCUGCAUGGCUUUCCCCGUUGUUUGACCCCCUGCAGUCACACCAGCCUCAUUUCAGCGUUCAUGUGACUUCUGCUUGUCCCACAUCAGGCACUUUGCCUGGAACUUACUCUCCCUCCACCUUUACCUGGUCAGUGCCUGCUCUUCGUCCCCAUCUCAGCUAGGUCAUUACCGUCUUAGCCUCCCACGACCACUCACGAGGGAAAUUCCCUAUUUCACACUCGGGGCAACACGUCCCUCUGUGGUAGCACGUCUCACAGUUGUGCGUUUGCUCUCUGCCUUCACUUGGAUUAACAUCUGCCUUCCCUGUUAGAUGCUAAACUCCAUGAGAACAGAGACCAACUCGUUCUUUGCUCACCUUUGUACUCCCAAUGCGAGCAGUGUUUGCACAGAGUAAGUAUUCAAUAAAUAUUAAAUGAGUGAGUGAAUGAAUGAAGGGGAGAAAGCCUUUGGGGUGGAGGGUAGCCCUUCAGAUCAAGCACAGACCUGCCCCAAGUGAAAAUCUGCUGCCUUUGCAUAACCAACUGGCCUCCUGCUGUGAAGCCCGAACAGCUCCUGACUUCCAGCAGGUUCCACUUGCUAGCAACGUGGCAUGGGCAGCCCCUGCCUGCCAUGCUGCUUUCACAGGGUGCGCACAGAGCUACAAAAAUGGGAAAGCCUUUGCUCGUCUAAGCCAAGAUAGAAACUGGACGUGAAGCUGCAGCACAAUGGAGAAGUCUGUCUCGCUUCCUGGACUCGGCUGUCUUACUGCCAGACACUCAGCUUUUCCUUCCCUCUCGAAACAAGGUGACUGUGGUGUCCUGAUGGUGGACUGCUCUGUUCUGAUUUAGCUGGCUGAUGGUGUUUUCUUUAAUUGGUUCCAUCAGAGGUCCUUCAGGCUGCAGACCCGGACCAGUCACCCCCAGAGUCUGUACCAAGACAUGGCAAAAUGAGAAAAAUAGGGACCAAAUAGGGAGUUUUCCUAAAACUAAAUGAAUUCUCAGAUUGUCUGCCCUACUUUUUUGUGUGUCAAGAUGCCCUUUCUUUUAUGAAACAAGGGUGAUGGGAGGUGAUGAUAGUUUUUUUUUAAUGUC